UUUUUUUGACUGCCGCCAUCCGCGUAGGAUGUGAUUUGCCCCUCCUUGCCUUCUGCCAUGAUUGUGAGGCCUCCCAGCCACGUGAAACUAAGGACAGUGCAUGAGAUUAUAUAAAGACUCAGAGCAGAGACACAGCUCUUCCUGCACCAGAGAAAUACAGCUCUGUGAGCCCCAAUGGAGCCAGCAUGCUGCUGGGUGCUGAGGAGCAGGCAGAGGCACCCAGGAUGGUGGUCCCCAGGGAGAACAGAGGCACAGAACAACACAUGAGGGGCCGCAUGACUUAGGGCCAGGAUCGGUCACUCAGCCAGCAACAACACUGGAAGAAAACAAAACAACUUCAGACUCUCUGCUGCUUUUCCGUAAUAUACCUGCCCAAAGACUGGACAACAAAGGAAAAGGAGGCUGAUGAGGAAACGAAAGGAUCCAUGGUUCUUGGGUCGCUGGGUGUCUCAUCAACAAAGCCCCAGCAUCACUCCCGGCAGAUGCCCUAGCCUGGCCCGGGCUGGGAUGGGCAAAAUUCACCGUGGAACUCUUGUUCGAGAGAAGGAGAUCAAAGCCAGAAACGCUUACCCAGAAUGGCCACGCAAAAUUCUAAUUCUAAAAAUACUUUUAAAAUCUAACGUACAACAAAGGAAAGCUGGAAAAUUAUUUAAAAAAGGAUGAAAGGGCAAGAAAAAUUCAACCCUCAACCUGAAGGCGAUUAUAAUCUGUGUUCUGCUGCUUCCCAGAGCCGCUUCAGUCUUCAGCUCAGAGUCUACCAAACACUAAAACGCAACUGAACACUC
rnacentral:lncRNA from 1 species